UGAUCCUGGCUCAGGACGAACGCUGGCGGCGUGCUUAACACAUGCAAGUCGAGCGGGAAGGCCCUUCGGGGUACACGAGCGGCGAAGGGGUGAGUAACACGUGGGUGAUCUGCCUCGCACUCUGGGAUAAGCCUGGGAAACUGGGUCUAAUACCGGAUAUGACCAUUGACCGCAUGGUUGGUGGUGGAAAGAUUUAUCGGUGUGAGAUGAGCCCGCGGCCUAUCAGCUUGUUGGUGGGGUAAUGGCCUACCAAGGCGACCACGGGUAGCCGGCCUGAGAGGGUGAUCGGCCACACUGGGACUGAGACACGGCCCACACUCCUACGGGAGGCAGCAGUGGGGAAUAUUGCACAAUGGGCGGAAGCCUGAUGCAGCGACCCCGCGUGAGGGAUGACGGCCUUCGGGUUGUAAACCUCUUUCGACCACCACAAAGCGUGAGUGACGGUUGUGGUAGAAGAAGCACCGGCCAACUACGUGCCAGCAGCCGCGGUAAUACGUAGGGUGCGAGCGUUGUCCGGAAUUACUGGGCGUAAAGAGCUUGUAGGCGGUUUGUCGCGUCUAUCGUGAAAACUCGCAGCUCAACUGUGAGCGUGCGGUCGAUACGGGCAGGCUAGAGUUCUGCAGGGGAGACUGGAAUUCCUGGUGUAGCGGUGAAAUGCGCAUAUAUCAGGAGGAACACCGGUGGCGAAGGCGGGUCUCUGGGCAGUAACUGACGCUGAGAAGCGAAAGCGUGGGUAGCGAACAGGAUUAGAUACCCUGGUAGUCCACGCCGUAAACGGUGGGUACUAGGUGUGGGUUUCCUUCCACGGGAUCCGUGCCGUAGCUAACGCAUUAAGUACCCCGCCUGGGGAGUACGGCCGCAAGGCUAAAACUCAAAGGAAUUGACGGGGGCCCGCACAAGCGGCGGAGCAUGUGGAUUAAUUCGAUGCAACGCGAAGAACCUUACCUGGGUUUGACAUACACCGGUAACCUGCAGAGAUGUAGGCCCCCUUGUGGUCGGUGUACAGGUGGUGCAUGGCUGUCGUCAGCUCGUGUCGUGAGAUGUUGGGUUAAGUCCCGCAACGAGCGCAACCCUUAUCUUAUGUUGCCAGCGCGUUAUGGCGGGGACUCGUGAGAGACUGCCGGGGUCAACUCGGAGGAAGGUGGGGAGGACGUCAAGUCAUCAUGCCCCUUAUGUCCAGGGCUUCACACAUGCUACAAUGGCUGGUACAGAGGGCUGCGAUACCGUGAGGUGGAGCGAAUCCCUUAAAGCCGGUCUCAGUUCGGAUCGGGGUCUGCAACUCGACCCCGUGAAGUGGAGUCGCUAGUAAUCGCAGAUCAGCAACGCUGCGGUGAAUACGUUCCC
rnacentral:rRNA from 1 species